rnacentral:rRNA from 1 species
GUGUUUCGAGCUCUGACCUUUGGGUAGACCUCCCACCCUGUGUCGUUAUACCUUUGUUGCUUUGGCGGGCCGCGGGGCUUAGGCCCUGCCCCUGGCUCCGGCUAGGGCGCGCCCGCCAGAGGACCUCAAAACCUGAAUGUUAGUGUCGUCUGAGUACUAUAUAAUAGUUAAAACUUUCAACAACGGAUCUCUUGGUUCUGGCAUCGAUGAAGAACGCAGCGAAAUGCGAUAAGUAAUGUGAAUUGCAGAAUUCAGUGAAUCAUCGAAUCUUUGAACGCACAUUGCGCCCCUUGGUAUUCCGGGGGGCAUGCCUGUUCGAGCGUCAUUACAACCCUCAAGCUCUGCUUGGUCUUGGGCGUCACCGGUCCCCGGUGUGCCUUAAAAUCAGUGGCGGCGCCAUCUGGCUCUAAGCGUAGUACAUACUCUCGCUACAGACGUCCGGUGGAUGCUGGCCAGCAACCCCCAAUUUAUCAAGGUUGACCUCGGAUCAGGUAGGGAUACCCGCUGAACUUAAGCAUAUCAAACCCGGGAGAGGGAAA